rnacentral:lncRNA from 1 species
GCAACAAAAGCAGAACAGGAGGAGUCAGGGUAGAUGGGCAAGGCUGAUUGGCUAUUUAUCCUUUCCAACCUCUCCUCCACCUUCCUCCACUGACUACAAGUAGUGACCCUGAGCUAGGACCCCAGUUAGCUUGGACAUCAUCCUUUUUGCACUACAAGAUGCCUCUUCUCCAGGCACUAGUGAGAUGCAGCAUUACUGCCUUGUUCCUGGGUCUCUGCCUACAACUAGUCACUGGGCAAGAUGAUAACGAUAACCGGAAGCCACUUAUUGUGCAGAUGUCUCCAAUACUGCGUGCUAAAGCAGGUGAAGUGAGUGAAAUCAGGUGUAAUGUUUCGACUCAACUGAGAGAAGCCGUGCCAAUAAAGUUCUAUAUUGUGACUGACUCAAAAGAAAAGUGUUCUGAAUUUAUCGAAUACAAGGCCUGUAUAUACCCAGGGGACAAUGCAAGGAAUUUCUACUGGAACAUACGCUGUCAAAGUACUGUAACAGUAGCCUGCGUGGCUGACGCUAUCGAUGAUGCUGAAGUCUGUGAUCCAUACAUCAGUACUGUGCCUACAACUGGCAAACGAGGUUAUCAAAUCAGAACAUUCACUGUAAGGAACUGAACUGGAAUCCUGUUCUCCCACUCUCCGGCUGGUCACUCUAUGGAGAGAUGCCUUGGGGAUGACCAUCUGAGACCUACGUGGUCUGUGAAAUAAACACCCUAUAAACUUCUCUGCA